rnacentral:rRNA from 1 species
CAGGAUGAACGCUGGCGGCGUGCCUAAUACAUGCAAGUCGAGCGAACGGACAAGGAGCUUGCUCCUUUGAAGUUAGCGGCGGACGGGUGAGUAACACGUGGGUAACCUACCUAUAAGACUGGAAUAACUCCGGGAAACCGGGGCUAAUGCCGGAUAACAUGUUGAACCGCAUGGUUCAACAGUGAAAGACGGUCUUGCUGUCACUUAUAGAUGGACCCGCGCCGUAUUAGCUAGUUGGUGGGGUAACGGCCUACCAAGGCGACGAUACGUAGCCGACCUGAGAGGGUGAUCGGCCACACUGGAACUGAGACACGGUCCAGACUCCUACGGGAGGCAGCAGUAGGGAAUCUUCCGCAAUGGGCGAAAGCCUGACGGAGCAACGCCGCGUGAGUGAUGAAGGUCUUCGGAUCGUAAAGCUCUGUUGUUAGGGAAGAACAAAUGUGUAAGUAACUGUGCACGUCUUGACGGUACCUAACCAGAAAGCCACGGCUAACUACGUGCCAGCAGCCGCGGUAAUACGUAGGUGGCAAGCGUUAUCCGGAAUUAUUGGGCGUAAAGCGCGCGUAGGCGGUUUUUUAAGUCUGAUGUGAAAGCCCACGGCUCAACCGUGGAGGGUCAUUGGAAACUGGAAAACUUGAGUGCAGAAGAGGAAAGUGGAAUUCCAUGUGUAGCGGUGAAAUGCGCAGAGAUAUGGAGGAACACCAGUGGCGAAGGCGGCUUUCUGGUCUGCAACUGACGCUGAUGUGCGAAAGCGUGGGGAUCAAACAGGAUUAGAUACCCUGGUAGUCCACGCCGUAAACGAUGAGUGCUAAGUGUUAGGGGGUUUCCGCCCCUUAGUGCUGCAGCUAACGCAUUAAGCACUCCGCCUGGGGAGUACGGUCG